rnacentral:lncRNA from 1 species
UUUAUGUUUGUUUUUACUUAUUAUGAUCAGUUUAAUCGAACAAAACACUUGAUUUCGAGAUCAAUAGCUUAAACACUAAAGAAAAUUAAAAUGGAAUGUAAACUAAUAAAGUAUUAAUAGAUGCUUAGAGCAAUGCAUUUUUCAUUUCACAUCUAAGAUUAUGUGUAAAUCUUAGUCUUAUUUAGUAUAGUAACCUGGGCUAAAUUACAAUUUUAUCAUUUUUAUGAGAGCUAAAAUGCAAUAAUAUUAUUUUUAGAUUUUCCUUGAUAUAUACAUGAAACUAUUUGAAGAAGCUUUAGACUUUCAUUUCGAUGCAUUUGAAUUUACUUGGAAAAGUUCUGUUUGGUUGCCGAGAAAAUGAGGAUGAGAUCGGGGAGAAAG